CUAGCGACAGGCCUAACACAUGCAAGUCGAGGGGCAGCACAAGGAGCAAUCUGAGGUGGCGACCGGCGCACGGGUGAGUAACACGUAUGCAACCUGCCUGUAAGCGGGGAAUAACCCGUUGAAAGACGGACUAAUACCGCAUAAUACUAAAUUACUGCAUGGUAAUUUAUUUAAACAUUUAUGGCUUACAGAUGGGCAUGCGCAUGAUUAGCUAGUUGGAGAGGUAACGGCUCCCCAAGGCAACGAUCAUUAGGGGUUCUGAGAGGAAGGUCCCCCACACUGGUACUGAGACACGGACCAGACUCCUACGGGAGGCAGCAGUGAGGAAUAUUGGUCAAUGGACGAGAGUCUGAACCAGCCAAGUCGCGUGCAGGAAGAAUUGUCCUAUGGAUUGUAAACUGCUUUUGCAGGGGAAUAAAGUGCAUCACGUGUGAUGUUUUGUAUGUACUCUGCGAAUAAGGAUCGGCUAACUCCGUGCCAGCCGCGGC
rnacentral:rRNA from 1 species